rfam:Capsicum annuum cultivar Zunla-1 chromosome 7, whole genome shotgun sequence
CUUAGAAACAUCAUUGAGUGCAGCGUUGAUGACAUAUUUGAGAAUUCCCCUUUCUCGGUUUUUUUCAUCUACGCUGCACUCAAUCAUGUUUUUA